UACGGAGGGUGCAAGCGUUGCUCGGAAUUAUUGGGCGUAAAGGGCAAGUAGGUGGUCUCAUUUGUCUGAGGUGAAAGCCCAGGGCUUAACCCUGGAAGUGCCUCAGAAACGGUGAGACUCGAGUACUGGAGAGGUGAGUGGAAUUCCCGGUGUAGCGGUGAAAUGCGUAGAGAUCGGGAGGAACACCAGAGGCGAAGGCAGUCUCCUGGCAAGUUUCUGACGCUCAGGUGCGAAAGCUAGGGGAGCGAACAGG
rnacentral:rRNA from 1 species